UACGUAGGUGGCGAGCGUUGUCCGGAUUUACUGGGCGUAAAGAGCGCGCAGGCGGUCGUUCAAGUCGCGUGUGAAAGCCCCCGGCUCAACUGGGGAGGGUCACGCGAUACUGAUCGACUCGAAGGCAGGAGAGGGAAGUGGAAUUCCCGGUGUAGUGGUGAAAUGCGUAGAUAUCGGGAGGAACACCGGUGGCGAAGGCGACUUCCUGGCCUGUUCUUGACGCUGAGGCGCGAAAGCUAGGGGAGCAAACGGG
rnacentral:rRNA from 1 species